CUGAUCCAGGCAGGGCUGCCUGCUUCUGCCUAACCUGGGGGGAUCUCUUCCUGCUCAUGCAGGAGCCUGGGGUCCACCACCCUGUUGCAGAGCUAAGGAGAGCAAAUGGACACAGCUUGUGAGCCAUUGGGAGGCUGAAAUUUGUUUGCCUGGAGCACUUGCCAAAUGGCGAGAUAAGGCGGCUAUCGGGGCAGGAAGCCUUCUUGGAAAUCACCGUGGGCUUGGCAC
rnacentral:lncRNA from 1 species